rnacentral:rRNA from 1 species
UACGUAGGGUGCAAGCGUUAUCCGGAAUUAUUGGGCGUAAAGAGCUCGUAGGCGGUUUGUCGCGUCGAAUGUGAAAACCCGGGGCUCAACCCCGGGCCUGCAUUCGAUACGGGCAGACUAGAGUUCGGUAGGGGAGUCUGGAAUUCCUGGUGUAGCGGUGAAAUGCGCAGAUAUCAGGAGGAACACCGGUGGCGAAGGCGGGACUCUGGGCCGAUACUGACGCUGAGGAGCGAAAGCGUGGGGAGCGAACAGG